GCCAGUGUGGUGUAGUGGUUUGAGCUUUGGACUAUGACUCGGGAGACCAGAGUUCAAAUCCCAGCUCAGCCA
rnacentral:tRNA from 1 species